CAGAAAGACAACUAGAAUAAUAUGAAAACUUACAUGCCAACACAUUGGACAACCUAGGAGAAAUGGAUACAUUCCUAGAAACAUACAACCUCCUAAAACAGAAUCAGGAAGAAAGGAAAAUUUGAA